rnacentral:lncRNA from 1 species
CCAUGGUGAGUUACCGUGCAAUUCAAUCUUUCGAUCAUAGAACAUCCCGAAAAGGCUAUGGAUAUAAAAAUAUAUCAAACUCAAAUUUCUAACCAUAUGUAUCUCGAUCAGAUGAUGAUGACUCAGUUGAUGAACUAGUAGAAAUCAUUUUUACUAUUCAUCCCUGCUCUGGUCAGAGACUUCUAGAGUCACCAUCCCAUGAGAUCACAUAGGAUGUUCUCUCCUCUUACAAGGAGUGACCGAUUCCUUGUUGACCACUCAUAAUCUCUAUGCAUACUUUGUCAUACCCAGAAUAUCCCACACACAUUUCAAAAUGGUGUGCUAGAAAAUAAACCAAAGUAAGGGUCCAUGCACACAAGGUACUAUGGUGAUCUUAGAUCAAAAGAUCACA